CCCUUUCCUCCUUUUCCUUCCUACUUUUCACGCUUUAUUCCUUCCCCUUCCACUUCUAAACAAUUCCAUCCUAAAACUACCAGAUUAGACAAAGAAAAGCAAGCCUCUGCACAGGGGUUUGGAGCAAGGUGUUGACCAAAAUUUGGAUGUCAGAACUCAAGCAGGGAGAAGAGAUGGUGUCUCUCGCCCUGUCUCCAGGCUAGAGUGCAGUGGUGCGAUCUCGGCUCACUACAACUCCUACCUCCUGAGUUCAAGCGAUUCUCCUGCCUCAGCCUCCCGAGUAGCCAGGACUACAGUGUCGAGGUCAUGAAAGCCACUGAAAGACUGAGAACUGUUCCAGAAAGGAGACUAGAGAGACAUGGCAGCCAAAUGCUCCACAUAAUCCUGUCCUGGAUUCUUCUCCUACAAAGGAAGGGGUCUGAGGAUUAGGUGGUAGUACUGAAUCAAGGAACUAUCAUCUCCUAUUGUGCUGUAGGCAAACUUGAGUGACAUGGUGGAAGCCACCAGAGAGAAUAUCUGAAGCAAUUCAUUAAAAUCUUGGCAGCCAGACCCCAGCUCCCACUUUCCCUGAAAGCUCCCUUUAAUGAAGCUGAACGCUGUCCCAGCAAUUCCCUCCACAGAAGACCUACUGUCACCACCUCUGGAGGGGCAAUUCCUGGAGGAACCAAGUCAGCCAAUCGAAGGUCCUGAAUAAGCAAAAACUAAGUAAAUAAAUUACCAUCUCGAA
rnacentral:lncRNA from 1 species